rnacentral:snRNA from 1 species
AUCGCUUCUUGGCCUUUUGGCUAAGAUCAAGUGUAGUAUCUGUUCUUAUCAGUUUAAAACUCCAGUCUUUGAGCCCUGCUGGUUGCAAAACUCACAGAAAACAGCUUCCCCCAUUUUCC